rnacentral:rRNA from 1 species
GAGUUUGAUCCUGGCUCAGAUUGAACGCUGGCGGCAUGCCUUACACAUGCAAGUCGAACGGCAGCACGGGAGCUUGCUCCUGGUGGCGAGUGGCGAACGGGUGAGUAAUGCAUCGGAACGUAUCCUGGAGUGGGGGAUAACGUAGCGAAGUUACGCUAAUACCGCAUAUUCUGUGAGCAGGAAAGCGGGGGACCUUCGGGCCUCGCGCUCUUGGAGCGGCCGAUGUCGGAUUAGCUAGUUGGUGAGGUAAAGGC